UCACACUGGAUCAGGGUGGACUUUAAAUUUAUAUGUGGUCCUUGUAAACCAGAGAUUUUGAAACAGACACAGAGGAAUCAGGUCGUGUGAUGACAAUAAUAGAAACUGAAAAGAUGCAGCUAUAAACCAGGAAGCAAGGGUGAAACAAGGAAGGAGUCUUCCCCAGAACCUUUAGAGAGAGUGUGGUUCUGCCAACACUGUGCUUUCAGAUUGCUAGUUCCAGGACAGUGAAAAAAAUAAAUGUCUCUAUUAUGCCCUCCAGUUUGUGGUAUGUUGUUAUGGCAGCCCUUGGAAACUAAUACUGCUAACUGCUAUGUGCCAGGCACUGUUCUAGGUGCAGGAGACUCAGGGUGAACAGAAUAGGCAGGAUCCCUGCUCCUACAGAGCUGACAUUCUAGGAAGACAAAGAACAGGAGAAUAGCAGGGCUUGAAUUCACAACCCUGACAUCAAGAUCUGAGUCUCCAGAUCCAGAUAUGGAACAUCUUUAUCCCUCCAGAAAUUUUCUUCAUGCUUCUCCAGCUUUGACCAUGUGAUGUUUAAGUUGUCUUCCUCCUGAGCUACACUUGCACACCUGGUGGAACAGCUGAUUGCACAGAUGUCUCAGCAACAAGGUACAAAUGGAAAAGCAACCUCCUCCCACUGUCCUUCAAGCCCACAGUCUAGAGGCCAGAAGUCUGAAAUCAAGGUGUUGACAAGACGAGUUUGUUCUGGAAGCUCUCAGCCAGAGUCUGUUCCACAUCUCCCUCCAGGGUUUUGGUGGCUGUCAGCAAUCCUGAGUGUUCCUUGACUUCUAGACACAUUCCUCCACUCUCUGUCUUCAUCUUCACAAGGCCUAUACAUCUGUGUGUUCCCUGAUCUCAUCUCCUUUCUCUUUCAAGGACAACAGACAUUGGAUUUUUGGGACUUCCUCUAAUUUCAGGAUAAUCUCAUCAAAAGAUCUUUAACUUAAUUAUAUCUGCAAAGGCCCUAAUUCCAAGUAAAGUCACAAUCACAAGUACUGGAGGUUAGGACUUGGGCAUAUAUUCUGAGGGACCACUAUUCAAUCUGCUAUACUUCUAUUUACACAAUUAUUUAAAAAAAAAAAUCAUGAGAACUGUGUUGAGAGUUUCAGAGAAACAAGUUUACUUACAAUUAGAAUAAAAAUAUUUUCUGGAGUCUUCUAGCAUCAUUAGUAGAGCCUUGUUUACAUACGCCAAC